rnacentral:rRNA from 1 species
GACGAACGCUGGCGGCGUGCUUAACACAUGCAAGUCGAACGGAAAGGCCCUGCUUGCCGGGUACUCGAGUGGCGAACGGGUGAGUAACACGUGGGUGAUCUGCCCUGCACUUCGGGAUAAGCUUGGGAAACUGGGUCUAAUACCGGAUAGGAGCCAUCUUUAGUGUGGUGGUUGGAAAGUUUUUUCGGUGUAGGAUGAGCUCGCGGCCUAUCAGCUUGUUGGUGGGGUAAUGGCCUACCAAGGCGGCGACGGGUAGCCGGCCUGAGAGGGUGUACGGCCACAUUGGGACUGAGAGACGGCCCAGACUCCUACGGGAGGCAGCAGUGGGGAAUAUUGCACGAUGGGCGCAAGCCUGAUGCAGCGACGCCGCGUGGGGGAUGAAGGCCUUCGGGUUGUAAACUCCUUUCGCUAGGGACGAAGCUUUGUUGUGACGGUACCUAGAUAAGAAGCACCGGCUAACUACGUG